UGACAGGACAGCAGCCAGCCAGACUGAGGAGAGGCUUCAGCCAGCAGCAGACUCCGCCCGCCCACCGCAUCAUCAUGGCUGCUGCUCCCCCACCCUCAGCACACACACAGGAUAUGCAUGAAGUGAGCACAGUGACCAGUGCUGUCUUCAGAGGAGAUCCUGCAGAGGUACUUCACCUUCAUGUAGCAGGAGUACACACUGUCUUGCAUGUGAAAUUAAGUUAACUUUGAGAUAACAUAAUUUCACUUGUGUAAAGUUGGGUUAUAUUACAAUGAAUAAGGUAUGAGGUUUCGGAGCUCCUAAAAGGCAAGAACAUUCUGCCCAGGAAGCCAAAGUGAAAAUGAAAUGAAAACCCACAGUUGCAGUAGGAGUGUGGCUGCUCACUGUUAUUCAGCUUGUAUGGGCAACAGUGAGGUAGAAAGAAUAUUUAAGUUAUAACACAGUUGAAACCUUUGAAAAAGAUGUUCCAAUAUUUUCUUGAACUCCUUGUGCAUCAUAUACUUAUACACCCUCAACAAAGCCAAAACUAAAGAAACAACAUAAUGUAAUGUGGUUGAAAGACUUACUGUUCCUGUGGUCUUGACGGAAAAUAAAAACACUGUUCUGCAAACUUGUAGCUGGGCUAUGAUGUGAUGCCUACAGCAGCAGAAGAGAACAGUGUGUUAGUAAGCAGCCACUCGCAGGUUGAAUUUAUACUUAAUAUUCCUUGUAAAUAUUCUGAGCAUUGCAUCAUAAUCCGUCACAAAAGGGAGCCCCAGCACACCGUACAGCAGUAGGUGGUAGUGAGCCUGAGUAGCUGUGAGUUAGAAAGUUUGUCUUUUUUGCUAAUUACUUGAAUUUAACUUGUUUUACUUGUUUUCAUCAUGGUGAAAUACUGUGUUUCUGCAUGUGCCACAAACUCCAGCCUGUCAGGACAUCAGUUUUAUCUGUUGUGCAGAUGAAGAGACUUCAAAAUGUGGAGAAUUAUGUUUAAACUUUGUUGCAAAAACUACUUUAAAUGUCAUUAUAGUUCUUAUACAGACAUAUUCUCUCUAAAAUCUAGCCUCUGCUUCAUUUCCUCACAUAUUAAUUCUCUGAGGUUACCAACCUACAAGUUCCUGUUUUAAGUUAACAGUGUCUUCUCAGAAACUCCACAGCCUUUAGGGCAGAAAUGCUGCCGUAAAGACGCAAAUGCAAAUUAUUUAGAAGAACUUUGCGUUUACUGGAAUUCAUCUUGAUCUAUCACAGGAUCAGCUGACCUAAAAUGUGUCACAAAGUGUUUGGUCAACAUAACAUCCAGCAUGUUUUAUGAUGAGAAACAUCACUUCAGGCUUCUUAUCUCCUGUUACUGUACAACAGAUAGAGCAGGAGUGAUUUGUCAAAUGACACACUUAAUUUAACAGCUUACUAAACCAAAAAAAUGUACCAAUUCAACCUCAAGAGUAAGGGUUUUUUGUGUGUAAAAGCUUGGUGCUCUGCAGCUUGUAUCUGUAGUUGGUCUCUACCUGCUAUAUAUAUCGACACAAGCAAGAGUGUAAUGGCAUUUGUGUGUAUGUAGAAUGUGCAGGUGGAAACGAUGACAAGUUUUAUCCUUUAAAAGUAAAAGGAAACCAGCAGCGACUACAGGAAGGAGUCCCUGGAGCCUGGCUGGUGCUUUAGUACUCCCAGAGGAAGCACAGCACAGAGACGUCACUGCGUUUUGUAUGUUGACUCAUCCUUGCACUCCCAGGGCAGGAUGACCUCCCACAUUCUCAGGUCUCAGUGAAUGAGCUGCAUCCUUGGGUUGAACCAAAGGCAAGACGAUGUGUAUUUCUCUAAAAUCAAGGCUCAUGCUGAUCAGACCUGCAAAAUUGGGUUACAAUGUCCAAAUCUCUUUUGAUCUAAGGGGUUUAAAACAACUGUUGAACUCUUUGGAAAGAAAGUACUGUUUUAAUAAACCAGUCGAAUGGAAAUCUAAGUUUGUAAUAAUGAUUUCUAAGUUAAAAUUUAAUUGCCCACAUAUUCAUAUUUCUGUAAAAGGGGCACUGAAAGGAAUGUGUCUGGGUUACAUAAUUUAAAAAGACAGUUUUGUUGCAGCAUACAGAUGAAAUGGUUUACUUUUCCAACCAAACUUGCAGCCCUACUGUGGAACAGAAUGUUAUCUCAGGUCAGCAUGCUUCUAGAGCUGAUAUUAAUACUCAGGAAUCUGACUUCAGCACUCCCUUCAGGGAGACUGUAUAAACUCAAAGGACUUUAAUGCGUUAUCAUUUACCCUUUACUAACAUAUCUGACAGGUGUGAUAAUAAGGUCUUAUACACAAAAUACUUUUCAUUUUUUGGAUGUUUUCCUCUAAUCUUUGAUUUUUGAUGAGAUACUGCACCAUUUCUUGAAAUGAAACUAUGUGACAAGUGUACAGGGAAACGAUCGUUAUUUGGUGGAGCUGUUAAUAAGUCAUACAUAUCCGAUGUGUGACCCUGACUACACACAUGCUUUUUGUAAGACGUCAGAAGUCAAAUAAAGUUGGACAAACACUGG